UACGAAGGGUGCAAGCGUUACUCGGAAUUACUGGGCGUAAAGCGUGCGUAGGCGGUUUGUUAAGUCCGUUGUGAAAGCCCUGGGCUCAACCUGGGAAUUGCAGUGGAUACUGGCGAGCUAGAGUGCGGUAGAGGAUGGUGGAACUCCUGGUGUAGCGGUGGAAUGCGCAGAUAUCAGGAAGAACACCAACGGCGAAGGCAGCUCGCUGGGACGGAAUUGACGCUAAGGCGCGAAAGCGUGGGGAGCGAACAGG
rnacentral:rRNA from 1 species